CCUUGUUUAAAUUGCAAAAAUCUUGAUUUUUGAAAUUUUAAAAGAAUUUUCAUCUUAACUAAAGUGUCCCAUAUUUUUCAUAAAAGAUUUACAACAGUAACCCGAACCCCACAUGAUCUUACUCUGAGUGUCAAUUACACAGUUAACAAAUGGCUUCACCAAAUAGUGAAUAAAUGGCUGAAAUAUAUCUGACAAUGAAAACAAAAACAAUGGGUUACCAUUGUUACUCAAAUCAAGAUCCUGUUCCUCGGCCUUGCUUGGACCUUCUGCUAAUGAGUUUAGCCAGUGUUCUAAUAUGUGCUGGCUUAUCUGGACAAGAUCUAAACAAGAACAUAUUUAAUCUUUACUCAGGGAGCAAUAAGUUUAAGUGCUGGCUUAUUUUGACAAAAAUUUUUUAGCAAGAAUAUAUUAUUAUAUAACCGUA